UUCCGGUUGAUCCCGCCGGACCUGACUGCUAUCGGAUUGAUACUAAGCCAUGCGAGUCAUUGUAGUAAUACAAGGCAAGACGGCUCAGUAACGCGUAGUCAACCUAACCUAUGGACGGGAAUAACCUCGGGAAACUGAGAAUAAUGCCCGAUAGAACACUAUGCCUGGAAUGGUUUGUGUUCCAAAUGAUUUAUCAGCCGUAUGAUGGGACUGCGGCCUAUCAGUUUGUUGGUGAGGUCAAUGGCCCACCAAGACUAUUACAGGUACGGGCUCUGACAGGAGUGGCCCGGAGAUGGGUACUUGAUACACAGGACCCAGGACCCUAUGGGGCGCAGCAGGCGAGAACAACUUAGCAAUGUGACGAAACCACGACAAGGUUAAUCCAGAAGAUGGUUUCUGCUAACAGGACACCUUUAGUACGGUCCUAGAAACACCGAUGAAUAAAAGGGGUGGCGCAAGUUACUAGGUGUCAG
rnacentral:rRNA from 1 species